CCAGGGGUUGGGGUCAGAGCUGGGAGAGCGAGGGAGGGAGGAGAAGGAAGUCACACUUGGUCCAUUUCCACUGAGUACACAGCUAUCAUCCGACCUCAGUGAAAACCCUCCUUCCUCUUUUCUCAUCGUGCUUAAUACAUCCUAAGAGCAGCCAAAGAGGUGAGGUGUUAAUUUGUCUCUGGCGGACCCAGCCGCAGCUCCGGCUCAGCCUCAACACCGGGGGAAUCUAGCUCUUUGAAGCAGCUAGUCACUAAGCCACAGGAAGUGGAGGAUGGCCACUGGCAAACAGGUCUGGACCUUCAAAAAUAUAGCCACACAGAAAUCUAAGCAUUGCUUUCCUGAGGGUUAGAAGCGAGGAAGAAGAAAAUGGGGUGUUUCGUCAGGCUGAAAAUCUCCUGUGACAAGAUCCCCGACGAAAGAAAGGAAGAAGGAAGCACUUACUUUGGCUCAGCGUUGGAGGGUAAUAGUCCCUUCUCAUGGGGAAGCAAGAAGGAAGCAUUUACUUUGGCUCAGCGUUGGAGGCACACUCCUCUGGCCAGGCUUUGGGGACCCUCGGCCUGGGUUGGCCUCCACUACUCUCGUUCUUCAAAAUUAUACUUGCUUGAUCUAGACUGAACAGCCGUCUAGCGAUGGAGUCUGAACUUAAACAACCACCAUGCUUGCUGCUGGCAAAGGACUGCACAAAUGUAAAUAAAACUUGC